GUGUCAGCCGCCGCGGUAAUACGAAGGGUGCAAGCGUUAAUCGGAAUUACUGGGCGUAAAGCGCGCGUAGGUGGUUCAGUAAGUUGGAAGUGAAAUCCCCGGGCUCAACCUGGGAACUGCUUUCAAAACUGCUGAGCUAGAGUACGGUAGAGGGUGGUGGAAUUUCCUGUGUAGCGGUGAAAUGCGUAGAUAUAGGAAGGAACACCAGUGGCGAAGGCGACCACCUGGACUGAUACUGACACUGAGGUGCGAAAGCGUGGGGAGCAAACAGGAUUAGAAACCCGUGUAGUCC
rnacentral:rRNA from 1 species